GUUGAACGCUGGCGGCGUGCCUAAUACAUGCAAGUCGAGCGAAUAGACGAAGAUCGUGCCCCGCUGACGUUAGCGACGGACGAGUAAGUAAUAGGUGGAUAACCUGCCGAUAAGACUGAGAUAACUUCGUGGAAGCGUAGCUAAUAUCGGACAUCAUAUUGAACGUGAUGGUUCAACGGUUAUAGACGUUUUUGCUGUCACUUAUAAAUGUAACCGCGCCGGAUUAGCUAGGUGGUAAGGUAACGGCUUACCAAGGCAACGAUGCGUAGCCGACCUGAGAUGGUGAUCUGCCACACUGGAACUGAGACACGGUCCAGACUCCUACGGGAGGCAGCAGUGGUGAAUCUUACGCAAUGGGCGAAAGCCUGACCGAGCAAAGCCGCGUGAGUGAUGAAGGUCUUCGGAUCGUAAAACACUGUUAUUAGGGAAGAACAAAAGUGAAAGUAACCAUGCACGUCUUGACGUUACCUAAACAGAAAGCACCGGCUAACUACGUG
rnacentral:rRNA from 1 species